rnacentral:rRNA from 1 species
CCAGCCCUACGGGGGGCAGCAGUGAGGAAUAUUGGUCAAUGGGCUUACGCCUGAACCAGCCAAGUCGCGUGAGGGAAGACUGCCCUAUGGGUUGUAAACCUCUUUUGUCAGGGAGCAACGCCGGCUACGUGUAGCCGGACUGAGAGUACCUGAAGAAAAAGCAUCGGCUAACUCCGUGCCAGCAGCCGCGGUAAUACGUAGGGGGCAAGCGUUAUCCGGAUUUACUGGGUGUAAAGGGAGCGUAGACGGCAGAGCAAGUCUGAAGUGAAAGCCCGCGGCCCAACUGCGGGACUGCUUUGGAAACU